rnacentral:rRNA from 1 species
CCCUUAGAUGUUCUGGGCCGCACGCGUGCUACACUGAGUGGAUCAGCGGGUCAGGUUGCGCGAAAGCGUUUCCUAAUCUUUAAAUCCGCUCGUGAUGGGGAUUGACGGUUGCAAUUUUCUGUCAUGAACGAGGAAUACCUAGUAAGCGCGAGUCAUCAGCUCGUGCUGAUUACGUCCCUGCCCUUUGUACACACCGCCCGUCGCUCCUACCGAUUGAGUGUUCCGGUGAAUAAUUCGGACUGCAGCAGCGUGGGGACUCCUCAUGCUGCAGCGGAAAGUUUGGUGAACCUUAACACUUAGAGGAAGGAGAAGUCGUAACA